GCCAGCCCGCGUCAUGGAUGUCCCGCUCUCCUAUUUCGCUCUGCUCGCCCUGCAAUUCCAGACCCCAGACGAGGACCAGGAUUCAUGAAUCGCUCGCAGGGGCCGGGCCAGGGGCCUCUGGCUCCCGACGCUGGCCGAGAGGUGAUGAGUGAGGUCGGAAGGAGAUUUACAGAACAACCAGGGCCUCCGUAUUGAAUGAAAGACCCAGUGCGAAGACAUCACCAUGAACACGAGCAUUCCUUAUCAGCAGAAUCCUUACAAUCCCCGGGGCAGCUCCAAUGUCAUCCAGUGCUACCGAUGCGGAGACACCUGCAAAGGGGAAGUGGUUCGUGUUCAUAAUAACCACUUCCACAUCAGAUGCUUCACCUGUCAAGGUA